UAUGAAGAACGUAGCGAAAUGCGAUACUUGGUGUGAAUUGCAGAAUCCCGUGAACCAUCGAGUCUUUGAACGCAAGUUGCGCCUCAAGCCAUUAGGUUGAGGGCACGUCUGCCUGGGCGUCACAUAUCGUUGCCUGAUGCCAGUUUCCUCGUGAUGGGUGACUGUGCAGGGCGAAUGAUGGCUUCCCGUGAGCAUUGUUGCCUCAUGGUUGGUUGAAAAUUGAGUCCUUGGUAGGGAGCGCCGUGAUAGAUGGUGGUUGAGUGACGAACGAGACCCAAUCAUGUGAGACCCCUACCGAAUUUGGCCUUCAUGACCCACAUGCGUCUUUGGAACGCUCAUGACGAGACCUCAGGUCAGGCGGGGCUACCCGCUGAGUUUAAGCAUAUCAAUAAGCGGAGGA
rnacentral:misc_RNA from 1 species